GCCUCCGUAGCUCAGGGGAUAGAGCGUUGGUUUCCGGUACCAAAGGUCGUGGGUUCGAUUCCCGCCGGGGGCACCA
rnacentral:tRNA from 1 species